rnacentral:rRNA from 2 species
CGUGUAGGCGGGAAUGUAAGUCAGAUGUGAAACUCCGAGGCUCAACUUCGGAACUGCAUCUGAAACUAUGUUUCUUGAGUGAUGGAGAGGAAAGCGGAAUUCCUAGUGUAGCGGUGAAAUGCGUAGAUAUUAGGAGGAACACCAGUGGCGAAGGCGGCUUUCUGGACAUUAACUGACGCUGAGGCGCGAAAGCGUGGGGAGCAAACA